GGAGUCUGGGCCGUGUCUCAGUCCCAAUGCGGCCGUUCAACCUCUCAGUUCGGCUACAGAUCGUCGCCUUGGUGAGCCGUUACCUCUCCAACUAGCUAAUCUGACGCGAAUCCAUCCAUAAGCGAUAAAUCUUUCAUAACACAGCCAUGCGGCUAUCUUACUUCAUGCGGUAUUAGUCCACGUUUCCAUGAAUUAUUCCACUCUUAUGGGCAGGUUAUUCACGCGUUACUCGCCCGUCCGCCACUAAGUUAUAUCAGUUUCGUUCCGAAGAACUCCGCUAAAAUAACUCCGUUCGACUUGCAUGUGUUAGGCACGCCGCCAGCGUCGUCCUCGAGCCACGGAUCAAACUACU
rnacentral:rRNA from 1 species